rnacentral:rRNA from 1 species
GUAGUCCACGCCGUAAACGAUGUCGACUAGCCGUUGGGAGCCUUAGAGUUUCUUGUGGCGCAGCUAACGCGAUAAGUCGACCGCCUGGGGAGUACGGCCGCAAGGUUAAAACUCAAAUGAAUUGACGGGGGCCCGCACAAGCGGUGGAGCAUGUGGUUUAAUUCGAUGCAACGCGAAGAACCUUACCACCCCUUGACAUCCUGCGAACUUUCUAGAGAUAGAUUGGUGCCUUCGGGAGCGCAGAGACAGGUGCUGCAUGGCUGUCGUCAGCUCGUGUUGUGAAAUGUUGGGUUAAGUCCCGUAACGAGCGCAACCCUUGUCCUUAGUUGCCAGCGAGUAAUGUCGGGAACUCUAAGGAGACUGCCGGUGACAAACCGGAGGAAGGUGGGGACGACGUCAAGUCAUCAUGGCCCUUACGGGGUGGGCUACACACGUGCUACAAUGGCCGGUACAGACGGUUGCAAACUCGCGAGAGGGAGCCAAUCCGAGAAAACCGGUCGUAGUCCGGAUUGCAGUCUGCAACUCGACUGCAUGAAGUCGGAAUCGCUAGUAAUCGCGGAUCAGCAUGCCGCGGUGAAUA